AUACGUAGGGGGCGAGCGUUGUCCGGAUUUACUGGGCGUAAAGAGUUCGUAGGCGGCUUUUCAAGUCAGGGGUUAAAGCCCUCGGCUCAACCGAGGUAAGCCCUUGAAACUGUAGAGCUUGAGUGCAGGAGAGGAGAGUGGAAUUCCUAGUGUAGCGGUGAAAUGCGUAGAUAUUAGGAAGAACACCAGUGGCGAAGGCGACUCUCUGGACUGUAACUGACGCUGAGGAACGAAAGCGUGGGGAGCGAACAGGAUUAGAUACCCUGGUAGUCCACGCCGUAAACGAUGAGUGCUAGGUGUCGGGGUCGACAGGCUUCGGUGCCGCAGUUAACACAUUAAGCACUCCGCCUGGGGAGUACGAUCGCAAGAUUGAA
rnacentral:rRNA from 1 species